GCCCGCGUCUGUGUGUGUGGUAAGAAAUUAUAGCGUAAAAAUUAAUUCAGUUGUGUCUUUUUUUUGUCUCAGUAGAAGGUUAGGAUCUUCAAUUGAUGAUCGUCGCUGGGUUCGAUCGUUGCGUCUAUGGUUUGAUGAUUUGAUUAUUUUGAAGCUUAUUAUCGCUAAUUUUUUUGAUGGCGAUUUUUGAGGUUUAAUCAUGGUUGUAUUUCGAAGGAUUGGACGGGAAGGAUACGAGUUUUUGCGCUAUUUUGGGUUUGUUUAUGUGGUAAUUUCUGGAUCAUUCCAAUUAUCGGACAAACUUGACAUCAAAUUUCCUUCAAAAUUAGCCCUGUUCUGGUUCUUCUUUCUGGUUUUCUUGCUGUGCUUCUUGUAGAAUCAUGGAUUUCGGGCAAAUGGAGUGGGAAGGAACUCUCUCUUGGAUGGAUGUGAGCGUAAUCUGAAUCUGGAGUUUUUAUUUCGUCCAUAUUUGUGGUUGUUAUUAUUGUUGUGAUUGCUGUAGGCGGUGCUCUGGACUUUCAGUAGUUUUGGUGUGGUGUCGAUGGAGGAUUGAUCAGAAAGAUUGAGUUUUUACUAUUGUUGGGUUUGUUGAUUAGUAAUUUCUCGAUCGUUCUUUGUUAUCUAGAUUUUUCGCCUUUUCUUUUUCUCGUCUUUCCUUUUUCUGGUUCUUUUGAUGUCCUCGUUGUGGCGUGGCAGAAUCCUAGUCUUCGGUGGGGCUAAAAAAGACUCUUCCUGGAUGCGAAUAUCAUACGAUAUCGGGAGUUUUUCCCUCGUCCCUCUUUUUGGUCUCCUUUUUUAUUUCCUGAAAAAAAUUAACCGGGGAUUCAAUUAGUAACUGGCCCUAUCUGUUGUAUUGAUAUAGGGGAUCUUGGAUGCAGGAGGGUCUGGUCAUGUUUGUUACCCUGCUAUACUGGUUUACGAGAUUCCAGAGAAGUUUUCUCUGUCCUUACUUGUUUUCUGUUGAUUGACUGGGAGUUUUGUGGCUAUAGAUGCUGAUUUGCUCUGUGAGACAGCUGUGUUCGUUUUCUGAUUUCCUGCAUUACUUUUGUGUUGUGCAAGAUAGGGUUCCAGGGAUUCGGAAUUGUGGUGACAACUGAGCCUUCCUUCCUCGGAUGGUAAACUGUUUUGGAGGGAGUUAUCUUCUUACGAACAAUCUCGUUCUUGAGGAAUUUAUGCUUUUGGCACCUUUUGAUAUGACUGUUUUACCGAGUUUUUUUUUUUUUUUUUUUUUUUUAAAGUCCAGGACAAACACCGUUGAAAUAGCUUUCAACCUCUCCAUUCAAUUUGCCUGCACCUUUUUUGCUUGUUCUUUAUCAAAGUUAUCUUUGCCUAUUUGUUCUCUUUAGGCUUUUGAAUUUAUUUUAGUUCCAUGCCUUCUCUAUCUUUGGGAAUGGUUCUCAGAUGCUUAGGAUCGUAUCAAUAUGGCAAUAUUGAUGUUGGCAAGUAUUUUUUAGGUUUUAAAUUCUGCCAUCAAACAUGUUUUUUCUAGGUAUUUCCCAGUGUUAUGGUGGUUCUUCAUGAUCCGAACAAGAAUCAAGUUUAUGCUUGUUAUGUGAAUAGGUUUAUUGUAGAUGAACGAUGAACUGAAUUUGUCAAAAAUUGGUAUUAUUGAAUAGUUUCAUUUGUCAGUUCCCAUCUUUGCGUCAAAUUUCAGUUUUUGUUGGUUUUUUGUGUCGCUUGCAGAACUCUAGUGAGAGGGAGGUCUCUUGUAUGCGAGACUCUGUAUUAAUUGGACGGAUUUGAACAUAAUCUCUUAUUUUGGGCUCAACGUUGGUGUUUUUGUCAUUGCUUUAGGUGGUGUUAAUAUAGGUCGUGGCUCUGGGUUUCAGCAAUUUCUCUGUGGUGUUGAUUGAGAUUUGAUCUUGAGGUUUUGCAGUUCAUUGAUCUAGUCAUUCUUGAAUGGUUCUUGAUGAUGUUUCAAGGCUGUCUUUUCUUCUCUGGUUCUUUUAACGUGGCUUUAGAAUGAUGGAGUUCUGCGUAUGCAAGCAAAGAGAGCUCUUCUUGGAUGGAUGGAAGCAAAAAGAGCUCUUCUUUUUUCAACAGCCUGAAUCAGACUUUUGUUGUUUUAUAAACCUAAUCCCAGAAUUAACCUCAAAAGCCGGCAACUCUUGAGGCAAUCCCAGGGACUUAUAUCCCAACCCAAACCCAACCCCAACCCCGAUGUGGGACAAAUGUACCUAUAGGGGGGACCUGCUGCUAAGUGGGAUACUACCACCCAAUCAAAAAGAGCUCUUCUUGGAAGGAUGAAUGUGAUAAAUCGGGAGUUCUCUUCUGCCAACCAAUUCUUUCUUUGUGUUCUUUGCCUAAAAAUCACUGGUGUUCGUUGGUAAUGGCUUGUCCAUUGUCUUCAUUUUAGGGAAGCUUGGAUCGGAGCGCUCUCGUCAUGCUUGUUACCCUGCUAUUCUGGUUUACAAGAUUUUGGAUGAGCUCUCUCUUUCCCUACUUGUUUUCUGCUGUUUCCUUGAUAUUGAUUGGGAAAUUUGUGGAUUUGCUCUGCUUAUUCUCUAAUUUUCUAUAUUACUAGGAUGUUGCAACUUAGGGUUUCAGUGAAGUGAUUCGUGAUUCAAACUUGCCUUUUCAUCCUCAGAUUAAGGGCUAGUAAAAUCUUUUGGAGGGAGUUAUUUUCUCACCUACACUAAUUGUUCUUUUUGUGUUCGGGGAAUUUAGGGGUUUCGACACCUUAUUUAUAAUUUAAGUUUCCCAUGUAUCUUUUUGGUCUGGCAGCAUGUUUUGCAGAGCCAACUUUCUUGAUCCACGAGGAAUAGAACGGGUUAUAACCAAGUGCAUGUCUCUGCUUGUUCAACAGUUUAUUUCUGGAAAAACUGUCUAUGAAUGCUUUCAACCUAUGCAUUCAAUUUGCCUAAGGUUCGCUUUCUUUUGGCUUUUGGAUUUGAUGGAAUAGCUUAAUUCAGGGCUUCUCUUUGGGGAUGGUUCUGCACUGCUUAGUAUCUAAGAGGAAUUAAAUUCCGUCACCAAGCAUUUUGUAUAGAACUCUACUGAGGGUGGUGAUAGAACAUGGGCUUUUGGAUGCGAUUCUUCUUUAGAAUUAUGGGAUUCCCUUCUAGAAUUGUGGAAUGGAUGUGAUGCUUUGUUUUUGCAUUGCUGGUGGCAGUUGCUCUGGUUUUUCAGCAGUUUCCCUAUAGAGUUCAUUGGUAAAAAGGACUUCACGUUAAUUGCUGUGUGUGUUGUUCUUGGUGAUUUUGCAAGAUUUGUCUUUUCUUCUCUGGUUCUUUUGAUGUCCUCUUUCAAGAAUAGUGGAUUUCUGGUGUGGAGGCGAGAAGAGCUCUCUUGGAUGGAUGUGAAUAAAAUUGGGAGAUUUUCUUUUCAACCUGGUUUUUCUUUGUUCUCUUUGCCUGAAAAAAUCACUGGGGAUGGAUGGUGAUGGCUUCUGUCUGUUGUCUUGAUUUUAGGGAAGCUUGUUCCAGGAGCGUUGGUGUGUUUGGUACCCUGCAAAUCAGUUUUUUAACAAGAUUUUGGAUGAGCUCUCUCUUUCCCUACUCUUUUGUUUUGUUGGCUGUUUUCUUCAAAAAUGAUUUUCUUUACUUGUUAUCUAAUUUGCUAUAUUAUUUUGUGUUGAAUCUAGGGUUUCAGUGAUUCGGAGGUGUGGUUGAAACUUAGGUCUCUGUCCUCAGAUCAAAGGCUGCUAUAUUAUUUUGGAGGGUUUAUCUUCUUACCUAUGCUUAUGGUUCCUUUUUGCUUGAGCAUUGUGCUGGUUUUGGUACUUUUGGAUGUCCGUGCAGUAUUAAAUAAUCUAAAUUUUUUGUGAAUCUGUUCUUCCAUAGUCACCAUGUUUGUAGAAAUACCUCAUGCAUUAUUUGUUAUGUCAGUAAUUGCUUAGAAGUCUGUUCUUGAUCCUCGAAGAAAAUGUAUCACUGCUUAAUCCCAAUCAUUAAUUGUUGGACACCUCCAACCAGCCCAUUCAAUUCACAUGCACCUAUUUUGUGGCUUCUCCAUUAAUUUCUGGCUUGCUUAAUCCCAUGGCUUCUCUACGUGUGGGGAGCGGUUCUCAGAUGCUUAGGAUCUUACCAGUAUGGCGAUUUUGAUGUUCUGAAGUAUUUCUUAGUGUUCAAAUUCUGCCAUUAAACCUGUUUUUUCAGGUCGUUCCUGGUGUUUUGGUGGUUCGUGAUGAUCUGAACAAGAAUCAAGUUUAUGCUUGUUUUAUGAAUAGGUUUGGUGUUAUGAUAGAUGAUCUAAAUUUGUAAAAAGUUGGUAUUGUUGGUUCGUUCCAUUGUCAGUUAUCUUUGCAUCAAAUUUCAAAUUUUUGUUGGUUUCGUGUUGCUUGCCGAACUCAAUAGUCAGGGGGAGGUCUCUGGGAUGUGACUGUGUGUGAAUUAAUUGGAUGGGUCUGAAUGUAAUGUAAAAUCUGGAGCUUUUAUUUGGACCUAUGGGUGGUUUUUUUUUUUUUUGUUGUCUAGCUGGAGUUGCUAUAGGUGGUGGCUCUGGGUUUCAGAAGUUUCUCUGUGGUGUUGAGAAUUGAUCAUGAAGGCCUACACUUUGCGGUUUUGUAGUAUGUUGAGUACUUCUUGAAUGUUCCUUGUUGAUUUUUCAAGAUUGUCUUUUCCCCUCUGGUUCUUUUGGUGUGGUUGUCUUAGAAUGGUGGAGUUCUACAUAUGGUGGCAAAAAGAGCUAUGGAUUGACGUGGUAGAUCAGGAGUUCUCUUGUUCGUUCCUUUUUGCCUAAAAAUCACUGGUGUUUGUUGGUAAUGGCAUCUCGAUGUUGUCUUCAUUUUAGGAUAGCUUGGAUCACAAAGCAUUCUCGUCAUGUUUGUUACCCUGCUAUUCUGGUCUACAAGAUUUUGGAGAAAGCUCCUCCCCUACUUGUUCUGUUUUUUCCUUCGAAUCAAUGAGAGAUCUCUGGAUGGUAGAUUUGCUCUGUCUGUAUUGUUUGUGCAUGAGGAAUUUAGGGGUUUUGACACCUUAUUUGUAAUAUUUCUUAUUUUCUUAUUGUGUCCGUUAUUUGGUCUGGCAGUAAUUUCGGCAGAGUUGACUUUCCUGAUUCAUGAGAAAUAGAUGGGGGUAUAAUCAAGCGUAUCUCUCUGCUUAUUCUCAACUUUGUUUAUUUCUGGACUGUAUGAAUCACUUUCAAUCUGCCCAGUCAAUUAAGCUAAAGUUAUCGUACCCAAUUGUUCUUUACUUGGCUCUUGAUGGAUUAGCUUAGUCCAGGACCUCUCUUUGGGUGAUGGCUCUGCGGUGCUUGGUAUCUAACGGUAAUUAAAUUCUUUUAUCUAACAUGUUUGUAUAGGUAGGGAUUUUGGUGUCGCUGAUUCAUCAUGGUCUGAAGAAGAAUAAAUGCUACAUAUAUUGGUUUUGAUAAUAUGGUAGAUGAUCUACAAUUUUUAUUUCAGUUUUGUGCCAAGUUCAGUCUCUGUUGGCUGUUUAUGUUUUCACUCGCUUGCAGAAUCCUCCUGAGGGUGGUGACUGAAUAUGGGCUUUUGGAUGUGAUGAUUCUUAGACUUAUUGGAUGGCUGUGAACGUAAUCCGUUAUCUGGAGUUUUGCUUUCUGUAUCACUGUUGCAUUGCUGUUUGUUUCGAUCAUGGUGAUGUUUCAAGAUCUGUGUUUCUUCUCUGGUUCUUUUGAUGCCGUCUUUCAAGAAUAGUGGACUUCUGGUGUGUGGAGGCGAGAAGAGCUUUCUUUUGCAUAGAUGUGAAUUAAAUCGGGGGCUUUUCUUGGCAACAUGGUCUUUCUUUGUUCUCUUUCCUUGAAAAAUUCACUGGGGAUAUUUGGUGAUGGCUUCUAUCUGUUGUCUUGAUUUUAGGGAAGCUUGAACUGCGAGAGUAUCAUCCUGCUACUCGGUUGUGAUAAGAUUUUGAUUUGCUCUCUCUUUCCCUACUCUCUUUUAAUUUUUUUUUGGGUUCAUUUUCUUGAAAAAUGAUUUUCUCUACUUGUUCUUAAUUUGGUAUAUUAUUUUGUGUUAAGUCUAGGAUUCCAGUGAUUUGGAGGUGUGGUGAAAACUUUAAGGUCUCUAUCCUCAGAUCAAAGGCUAGUACAUUAUUUUGGAGGGCGUUUGUCUUCUUACCUAGUCUUACCAUUCCUUCCUCCUUGAGGAUUUUUUGGGCUUUGGUCCUUCUGAUGUGUGUAGGCUAUUAUAUAAUUUAAAUUUAAUUAAAAAUUUUCUUGUUUUUGGAAAUACCUUAUGCAUCAAGGAAGAGAAUAGCAAUUGUGUAUGACUGCUUAAUCCCAACUGUUAAUUAUUGGUCACCUGCGACCUGCCCAUUUAAUUCACUUGCACCUAUUUUACUUUCUUCUUCAUUAAUUUACAAUUAGCUUAAUCCCAGGCUUUUUCUUUCUUUGGGGAUUGUUUUAUUGUAAAUUUAUCUAAUUCUGCCAUUGAACUUGUAUGUAUAGGCGGUUCCUGGUGUUUUGAUAACUCAUCAUGAUCUAAAGAGAAUUAUCGUUAGGCUUCGUAUUUUAAUCAGUUCUGAUGGUAUGUAAUAUAAUUUAAAUUUCUGGGUAGUUGGAACUAAUGGACAGCUCUGAUAUUGGUUUUCAUCUUGGUGUCGAGUUUAAGUUGGGUUCUGAUGUCCUGGUACUCCCUUGCAGAACUCUAGUCCUAGCGAGAGGACUGUGAAGAAAUAGAGGUCUCUUGGAUGAUAAUUCUUUUUCAGAUAUCCAUGGUACUGUGGUUUGAAUCAUGGAAUCUCUCUUCAUGUCAUUCUGUUAUUGUGUUUGUUGAGAACAUCACUGGCGCAUUAUUCAGGCUUUAUAAUUUGUUUAAUUCUGCAGAUUGGAUUCAGGAGUUUUGAUCAUGGUUAGGUUUUUCAAGUAAUAGGGUCAAGGUAAUGGUUUAGGCCUUAUGGAAUUGAGUUGUACGGUGGGAUGUUUCACAUAUAUUACAUCAAUUCAUUAGCUUUUGAUGGAUGAAUUCUGAAUUAGUCAUGAUGGUUCUCCAGAUAUGCUGUGUUUUCAGCGUUUUUAUUAUUGAGUUCAUUAGCGAGUAUCGAAAGAAAAAAGAGGGGGAAUAGGAAUAUUUGGUUUGUCAUGUUUUUCAGGGUCUAUUAUAAGUUUUUGGAAAAUUUUGACCUCAAUUAGCUUCUUGAUAUGUCAAAACUCUCUCUGUCACUAUUUGACGUUUUUGUUAUAGAAUAACAGAUGGGGUGAAUUAUUAGGAGAUGCAAAGAACUUUAUUGGAGGGAUGAGAAAAUUUAUGGUUCACCAUGAUCCGGAUUGAUUUCUCUCUCAUCCCUACCUGGUCUGUCAUAUGCUGAAUGUGAUGAUUGUUGGGCUCAUUAUUAACUUGAGUCUUAUUUGGUUUCCAUUUAGGGAGCUUGAAUUCAAGAAUUUCUUGUCUCAUCUGAUUUUGUGGUCUGUAUGAUUUCAGAGGAGUUUCUCUCUCUCUCUGAUAUCCCUACUUGGUCUGUUGCAUUUGCUGAGUUGUUAUUAACUUGGCUUUAUCUGGUCUUCAUUUGAGGGAGCUUGAAUUCAAGAAUCUCUGGUCAUUUUGUCACCGGGUAUUGUGGUCUGCAUGAUUCCAAAGGAGUUUCUUCUCUCUUGUGGUUGUGUUUGGUUCUCUUUGUACAGUACUACGUAGUUUUUAAAAUUAAAUUACGGCAUUCAAUUUCAGGAAGGGCUGGGAGUUGAAGUCAGAUCUGUGUUUUCAAGCCUGAAUUUCUGCAUUACUAACCCAUUCUACCUAGCUUCUGCACAGUUAUCCUAAUUGCAUACUACCGAUCAACAUGAAAUCAAAACAGAUGUAGAGGUUUCUUAUCCUGAUCAUUUGUAAUGGAUAUGUCUGAGCUUAGCCGUAGUGUCAUUUUGUUUGUCCAGGUUUAUUCAUGAUGGUGGUGUUAAUAUACUGGGAAGUUUGCAGAAUCUGCUUUGAUAGUAUGAGCGUUAUCUGGAGUUAUGGUGGUAUUUAGCAGAGUAUUGUAUAUUCUGUAGCAAGCAUGCUUAUUCCAGUGAAUUUAAGAUAUCUUUACCUCAGCCAGUUCUUGAGUUCAAUGUCCAGAAAUUGGGAUUUCUAUUUCUGUUUCUCCUUUUAAGUCAUAUGGAUGGAAAAGAUGAAGUGCUUUCUAGUCUGCAUGGAAUUUGAUUUGACGACUUUGAAUGUGGAAACUUCUGAUAUACUAUGGGGUGUGGCCUAAGAUGCAACUCAGUAUGGAUUAUCAAGUUCAUGGUCAUGGUCAAGUUGGGGGUGUAUUUCUUGCCUCCUAUCCUUUCUUGGGUUUUUUGUAUGUUUUAACUGGUUUGUCCGUUACUAUGCACAAUAACUUCAACUGUUUCUCCAUCACCAUUGAGUACUCGCUGCUGGCGUUCAUUAUCUACAAUUGAGUGGAAGAGAGCAGUGUCAGGUGGUUAUUCUCACUUCAUAAGCAGAUGCCGGUUCAAUCUUGUUAGAACAGAUGCAUGCAAUAUCUGUUUUCAGAGUCGUCGACUUGCAUACAACUGGUAUCAGUACUGGUAUUGUUAAGUCAUGUAAGAACAGAUGCGUGCAAUAUCUGUCUUCGUAGUCAUCAACUUACAUACCACUGGUACUGGUACUGUUUGUGAAUUUCAUUUCAUACUUGAAUUUUGUGAUCCUCUGGUACAUAGGUUUAGUAUGCAACUUUAAAGUGCAACUGAAUUUUGUUAUCCUUGGGUUUAUUGGACAAUAUUUGCUUGUGGCCUUUAACAGUUAUGGUGUGGCAUCAAGAGGUCCAAUCUAAGAUCUGCAAUAGUUGUAUGCGUUGUGGUUUUGGGAAGGUGGUUGCAUCUUAACAGGCCCUGGCACAGGUGUAUUGUGUUCAUAUAACCAAUCAUAAAUGAUUGACAGAUUGAGAGGAAUCCAAAUGCCCUUGUGUACAAGUCUUGAAAAUCAUUAAUUUAUUUGAAGUGCGUACAACUUUUGAGGUUGAUUUCGGUGGAUUCAAGAAAUGAAAGAGUUCCCGUUUUCCAGGGCAACUUGUCAUUCUCUGUAUGAUUUACCUGUGUAGCUUAAGCCCCUGUGAUGUGUGUUGACUUUUUAAGUCCCAUAAGUAGGGUCUAUUUGUUGUUGGAUGAUUGCACUAUGUAAUUUUUGAUCUUUUAUCAGCCUUUAGCAUUAUGUAAAAUUUUUAGCAUCAAUUUU